CUGCCAGGAAGCCCAGAGCGAGCUGCAGAGAACAUUUGACUCUCUGCUGUCUCCUGAUCCAGUUACGCCAACAGGAAAUUUUCAAUUGCAUGGAGGAGGAGCUGGCAGUCCAGGACUUGGCCUCCACAUAGCCCAGCUCCCGGCAGACGACGUGGGCAGCGUGGAUGGAGAAGUCGUCAUCACACACGGAGGUGGGAGCCCUGUCCUGAGACUUAUAGAACCACUGAAGUCCUGAAAGUCCUAGGUGAAGACGACUAUUAUUACGGGCUGAAUUGUGUGUCUUUCUGUCCUGCUCUGGUCAGUGUGUUUAGGACCUGAAUCCCUCCCUGUCGAAACCCUGCUCCAACAUCACUGGUCGUGAUUCUGCUGCUAGAACUCCAUAAUGCUUCCUGCCUGGAUCUCUCAAGACUGCCUGAAGAUGCUCUUGUCUGGGGUGGACCAUUCUCUCUACCUGCUGUGUCUGUUGGAGGCGACUACAUCGGAUUAUUACGGCUGAACCUGCCCCAAAUGCCUGCUCCCACCCUCAAUUCCAUGUGUGUUUACUCUGGACCCUGACUUAUCCAGGGAUGCUCUACCCACACCCAACUGCUCUGACCUGGUGGUCAUCUGGUACCUGACAUGCCUCUCUGUAGUGGUUUUAAACAAAUUGACCCUAUGACCCUAGGUCAAAGCGCACGUAGAGUGGGACCUCUGGCCUUCCUGUCUUCGAUUGUGUGGGCCCCUCCUGCCUCUCUGCAACCCUCCUCCUGGAAUUUACUGGCACCACUGCUUCCAUAGAGAGGUGAUGUUGGAUGUCUUGGAAUCAGAAAACGGUGUCUGAAUCCUGCCUUCCCCCACUUCCUAGCUAUAUUAAGAGCCUCAAUUUCUUCUUCCAAAUAUAGAAGUUACCUUCCUUAUGUGUAUGUGUGUGCGUGUGUGUGUGUGUGAUGGUUAAAUGAAAUAAUGUGAAGAUCCCUAGCACACAGCAUCGAAUCAGUCAUGUUGAUUUUCUUCUUUCCUUCCUUUGAAUCUAGAACCUCUGAUUGUGGGGCUCUGUGCUUCAUACUUAGUAAAUAUUGACCGAGUGAAUAAAUAUAAAUUUCUAUUCCAAUAUUCACAACCUAUCAAUAAUACCUUUCCCUCUGACCUAAUUACAUUGGAAUGCAAGCU